CUACAUUGGUUUCAACCCAGGUCUGAACUGUAUUUCAAUAUUUGUAACUCUCAACACUCUGACCUUAACCUUCAUUCAUCCCUAAUAGUUUGCUUUUCACCCCACGACUUGAGGCUCAAUGUCUAUCUUCUUUCUGCUUUACAGCCAAGACUAAUUUAAUAACAGAAUCCCCCUACCAAUGAAAAUGGCUGUGGAGUCCGUUUGUCUCCUCAAAGUUUGUGUCCUAUCUACUGGUACUAUCUACUCUUAUGCAAUAAAGAAAUAUGACUUUCUCUUUGCAUUCUGUCUCAGCAAUAAAAACAAACAACAAAGCCAGGAGCUUGAAACACACCUGAUCACUGUCUCAAUGGAGACCAAAGAAUGCCAUUCUAAAUGCAGUUAUAAAUCUAGCAAAAACCCAAUCAACAAGUCUUCAUAUCCACAACCAACCAAAGCAGCAAGUCAAAGACUGUUAGAAACUCAACAACCAACCAAAGCAGCAAGUCAAAGACUGUUAGAAACUCAACAACCAACCAAAGCAGCAAGUCA